UCCCCUAGGCAUGUGCGAUCGAGAGAAAGAGAGGACAGGGGAAAACUUUUCUUCUCAAAACCUAGCAAGGAAAAUCAUCAAAUCAAGAGGCUUAGGUGUCAAAAUUGCUAUGCAUGAGUUAGGAAUUGUAAUCACCUAAGUGUUCUUGACAUCAAGCACGAGUCACCUGAAGUCGCAAGCAUCGCAAGAUCACGGAUAGGUAAAUAUCAUGUUUGAUGACGGUGAGCUUGGAACGAACAUGCUACACUUUGCGCCCCUUUUUGCGCUUCCGGUUAAUGUCUUCUUUUGUGAAUGGGUCAAAAACACUUUUAUAAUGUAAAUAUCAAUCUUAUGUCUAGGAUGUUCGUAAGUAGUUUGGAUUUUAAAUAUUAAUUUGGGUAGUUCGGACAAAACACUUGUGAUGAACCCUGUAUGGUCACAACUUUUAUAUCUUUUGCAAAGUGUCGUAGAUUUUAUUUUGAA